GAUAAAUAAAUGAGAUGGAAAGUAAUACGGGAAUGAUAUAAGUUAAUGGUAAAACAUAAGUUGGAAUGAUAUAAGUUAAUCAUAAGUUUGCGUAAAUCAAAUUCAAUUUGUGUGGUGAGAUGAGUCAUUGAUUUCCAAUAAUUAUCAUUUUUCUUUUGUUUUACAAAUCUAAUCACCUCUUGGAAGAAAAUAGUAUUUAGAGAAGAAGACGAAAAUCUUAAAUUGUGUAACUAAAAAUGUGGAAAGAUUUAAAUAGAAAUAAUUUAGUUAUCAACCCUCCCUAAAAAAUAGCAUUCAUAAUUAAUCCCUUAAAAAUAGCAUUCAUAGGGGUACAUUUUUUUUUUUCUCUAGGGAUAUUGUCAUAUUGAUUACAAAUAAUUGGUCAUUGAGUAAUUGGUAUAGCAUUCAUAAGGGUACACAUUUUUAUUUUUAUUUUUUAGGAUUAAGGGUUGGCAUGACCAGCUUGAAAUUUGUCUAAAAUCAAUUGAUUUAUACGGAAAUUAAUUAUACAACCUUGAUCUGAUAAGGGGAGAAACACCCUGGGCUGUUUGUUAAAGCUCAAAGGUCAGGAUGACGCGGGUGCACGCUUCUGCCAUAGUCGCGCGUACACUGGAUCUAAUCCUUGUAAAUACCCAAAAAACCCAAAUUUGCUCAUUUUCCAUUCAUUUUCUCUCUCUUCUUAUCUCUCUAAUCCGAAAACUCUCUCCUCUCUCUUCUUUCACCUUCACCAAUUUUGUUGUUGUUAAGUUUCACUAAAUCAUGCUUAGAAAAACAUAUAUUAUUACAACAUGUUCAUCACAUUUCUUGAUAGNNNNNAACAAAGUGAUUGAAUCCUCUACUCUUUCUUAUUUGUUUUUUUUGUAAAAUUUUUGUGUAAAAAUUUGUGUUGUUGCGGUGGUGAUGGUGUUGGUUUUGAGAAGAAGUUGAAGAUUUAAUGUGAUGUAGAUUGUGAAAGAGAUAGAAAAUUGAUGUGUGUGGUGUGUGUGGGUGAGAGUGAGGGUGGUGGAUGAAAGGUUAAGCUAGUGUGUGUAUAUGACGGAUUAAAAUGAGUUUAUAUAGAGUGUUUGAAAGUGAAGAGGAUAGAUGGAUGCUAAGUGAAGCUUUUAAAGCCAAUAAAAUUCUUACACUUGCAAUGCAAUAAGAUAUGAGAAACAUAGCAAAUGAUAUUAUGCAAAGUCAUGGAUGAAUAGUAGAGAAGAAAAAUAACAAAUGGUAUUAUGCAAAACUAUGGAUGGAUAGUAGAGAAUGAAGUAGAAGCACUACUUGUCACUUGAUUAAGGUGUCAUAUGGCUUGAAGAAGAUAUAUGUGGUCAAUGCAUCACUACAAGAAAAUUGGGCCUUUNNNNNNNNNNNNNNNNNNNNNNNNNNNNNNNNNNNNNNNNNNNNNNNNNNNNNNNNNNNNNNNNNNNNNNNNNNNNNNNNNNNNNNNNNNNNNNGAGCUAUAAUAAUCUCCCCAUGUGAUAACAAGCUGCAAAGUAUAAUGUUAUAGCAUCCCUUGAUGAACUCUCCAGUACUAACUUUCACUGUCACAUAACCAAUGGUUGUGAUGUUGUAAGUAAGAAAGAAAACUACUACUCAAAAUCAAUAAAUUUUAUAUACCUUAAAUGCAGCCAAGACUUCCGAUGAAAGCAAUCCUUCUACCUGCAAAUGAACAAAUUAUAAACCAUUUCAGUUUACAUUUAUGAAAUCAGAAGUUGUGAUUCGCUUGGCAUAAUCAGUAGCAAUAUGGUUCUGGUAAGGUCAGAUGUUGAGCUAGCAUUAUUCUCUCAGUCUUCGUCUCAUUCAGAAACACCGACAUAAGAUCACAUAUAUAACCACACUCAAUUAACAAAUCGGAAAAUAGAAAUCACAUUAAGUACAAUUGUACAAGUAACUUACAAAAGAUCCAUCUUGAAGCAAUUAAGAAAUUUGAGAUAAUUUCUCAAAUAGAUUUGAGAAGUGAUAUUCAUACAUAAAGAUACAAUUCCUUGCUACCAUAUUGUUAUCUAUUAGAAAUAUAUUGUUAUCUCUCAGUGAAUCUCAGGACUUGGCAGAAGUAGAAUCAAGACCCUAGGAUUUGUUUAAACUACACGCAAAGAAAGGGUUCCGCCUUAUUUAAGCGAAGAACAAAAAAUAUGCAGAAGAUAAAUAUACCUAUUUAAGCAUCCUAAAGUACAAUAAGGGAAAAUAACAACUAAAAUCUAGAAACAAGGAAAUUACAGCUACCGAUACUAAAGCUAACAACUAAAAACAAACUCGACAUCAUAACAAUAACCUUAAAAAUUGCUUCUCGUGAUCUAGAUGCAUGGCUUGUUUUCCAUCUUUUUCACCGCAUUCUCAUCACAUGAUAUUUUAGCAUAUGUUAGCUUCCUUGCUGAUAUCAACAAAAAUACAAACUCAAUUCCAAAUUUUCCUUGCUGAUAUCAACAAAAAUAGGAUCAUAAAGUAGAUCUAUAAAAUAAGUUCAGAAUAGAAACCUCAUCAUCAUAGAUCAACCAAAAGCACUUUUCAAGCUGUCAGUACAUAAACAAAUUACUUAUCAAUAAACGCACAAUCCUUGCACACAGAAGAUGAAGUAGAUGCAUUGACAAGUAAAGGAAACAACUCAUCAUUCAAAAAGGAGAUCUACAAAAAUGGAACCCUGAGCAAUGGAACCACAAAAUUGAAUAACAAAUUUCUGAUAUUCAGAUCUUCCAUAAAACGUGAAAGUUUAGGUCACUGAGAUAGAGUUUAAUAUCUUCACAAUAGAAAGAAAAAACAUUGAAACAAAAAUAGAUACAGAAGGUGGCCACCAAAUUAAAAUAACUAAACAAAAACGAAAAACACCAAACCACAAAACAGCCACCUAGAACACACCAACAUUGACACAAAACCACACCAGUGCGGAACUACCAUCGACACAGCAGAACUACAACAAAAUUGUUCCUGAGAAGCAGAAAAAAUCCAAAAAAAAAACACCAAUAGAGUAGCAUAAAUACCACAACAGAGGACCAUGAUUAAACAGUUCCAACAACGAUUUGAAAACAUGCUCAAAGGGAAGGAGGAAGAAGGGGAAAACAAACCUGAACGUGUAACAUGACGGCAACGAUUUCUACAGUUGGAACAAUAAUGAAAGAGAAAUUUAGGGAUUUGAGGUGAAGACAUUGAAGAGAACAGGACGGCAACGAUUUCUCUUUGCAGACAUCGAUGAAGAUGUUGGAGAGAACGAGAUUGAGAUAGUAAUUUAGGGAUUCAAGGCGAAGAGAUCGAAGAAGACAGCAGAGAUGUGGUUUUGGGAUUUAGGGAUUUAGUGUGAGUUUUUUUGAUAAACACAGGGGAGUGUAUUUAUUUUUUUUUUUAAUAUAAGAUUGAGUGAAGUUUUGAUUUUUUAGAGAAAGAGCCAAAAUUUUGACUACGCGGCAAUAGCCAAAAUAAUGCAACGGUUGAUAUAACUGUCGCAAAAUUUCAAAAUUAAUUUAAAACAUUGCAACGGUUACCUAACUGUCGCAUAAGUUGUUGCAAAAUUUCAAAAAUAAGCACAUUGCGACGGUUCUAGCCAAAUCGUCGCAAUGCAAGUGUCGCAAAGUGACAAUUUUCUUGUAGUG
rnacentral:lncRNA from 1 species